rnacentral:lncRNA from 1 species
UUCCUCUUGGACCGCUUCAAUUUCCGCAGCUGCACCUGCGACUCCAUCAACAACUUCAUCCUUUCAAUCUCCAAAUCCUUAGUAAACUCCAUCCUCUGCUUCUCCAGUUCAACCAUCUGCCUCUGUUUCGUUUCUUCAACUCUCUUAUACACAUCAGCAAACCUUCCUAUCGCCUCCGCCAGCUCGCAAUACGCAUCGCCACUCGCCUCACCUUCAUCCUCUGGCAACCGCCUCACUCUGUCCCCGUCAACUCCUCUCCGAUCACGAUUCCGAUACUGAUUCCGAUCUCCACCGCUAGACAACGACGCCUCCGAAUCCUCCUCUGCACCGUCAACCGCAGCAGCAGCCGCCGCCAUCACCGAGAAAUUCCGCCGGAAAAACGAACUAUCACUCACCGGUUGAUACGGUGGAGGCGGCGGUCGUUUCGAUCUACGUCCAACUGGAACCGCCGACGGCGGCGGCGGCAGCGGCAGUUCCGCAACCUCCGGCGUAACUGUAAGCGCCGCGAUCCGUUUCCGUUGAGGCGGUGGCGUCGGUGUAGGUUUAACCGCCGCGAUCCGCUUCCGUUGCGGCGGUUGCGACGGCGUUUUCGCCGACGGCUUAACCACCGAUCCGAUAACCGAAUCAAGCGGUGCAAAAAACGGCCACGGGGAAACGUAACAACCUGCACCUAACUCCAUAACCAACGCCUUCUCAACCUUAUACUUCUUCUUCAACGUAUCGAUCCGGUUCUUACACUGCACAUCACUCCGGCGAGUUUUUUUAACAGCGCCGUGACGGUUAUUAACGGCGUCAGCAACUUCUUGCCAGUGGUUCUGACGGAGACUGCCGGUGUUAAGUUUCAGGAUCCGUUCUCCCCAGGCCUCGAUUAACGUGAACGUUGCGUCUUCUGACCAGCAGUCGUCUCUGACCGGAAACGGUGUCGUUUUGGGAGGACGAGGCGGUGGUUUUGGUUUAGGUUUUGGUGUUGGUGUGACGUCAUUGUGUACGGAAGUGGUGGUGGUGGAGUUGUUGUCGGAGGAUGGGUGAGUGGGGGGAGUUGGUGGUUGACCGGACAUGUUGACGCCGGCGGUGAUGACGUGUCGGGGGUAUGGUGAGGUUCCGAGAGGGUUUGUGGUUUUUUUUUAAAUGUGUUGAGGUCGCCGGUGCUUGUCUUUCAUGUUUGGGUAAAAGUUUAAUAAUAACUUGGGGGCUGUUUGUCAACAUCUGA